GUGCUGUUCGUUUGGUUGACGCAGGGCGGCAGCGGCUGCGACAGCGGCUAUUUUUUCACAAAGUUUGUUCGUUUGGUUGACGCAGAUACCUGCGGCUGCGGCUGCGUCUAGACGCUGCGUCAAUGCGUUAAUAAAAUCUGGACGCCGAUAAAAUCAGCGGCUGAGACUUAAAUUCUGCGUCUAUCUACAUAAUUUACCAUUUUGUCCUUAAAACAUUUAAGUAUUUACAUAAAAACCUUAACCUAAUUGACGCAAGACGCAGCUCUCUCUCAUCCCUGACGCAACCUCGAGCUCUCUCAUCUCCAUCUCAGGCAGACCUCGAGCUCUCCCAUCUCCAUCUCACGCAGCCACGAGCUCUCCCAUCUCCACGGCUCGAGCUCUCUCAUUUCCAUCUCCGACGAAGACCUCGAGCUCUCUCAUCUUCAACUCCGACAAAGACCUUGAGCUCUCUCAUCUCUAUCUCACGCAGCCACGAGCUCUCUCAUCUCCAGGCCUCGAGCUCUCGCUUCUCCAUCUCACGCAGCCACGAGCUCUCUCAACUCCAAGACUCGAGUUCUCUCUUCCCCUCCGAUUUGGGUUUCAAGCAUCGUUGAGGUUGUGGAAAGUUCAGAUGUUGUAUCCAAGCUUGUGAAGUUUACUGAACAAAGCAAAACCAUGAAGGAGAUGUUUGGUCUGGCCUUCACGCAUCCUUCCUUGUUGACAUCUCAGAAAGCGCAUGGUUCAAGUGUUUUUUUGCAGGUUAUUGCUGGUGUUACUGGCAAGAAACAUAGCUAAAUACAUGCAAUGAUUUUCCCCUGUUUUCCUUACAUUUAGAUUCUCUCUGUCUUUAACUCAUUCCAUUCUCAAAUGAAAUAUGCUAAGACCUCAUGUUGUUUUUUACAUAAAGGCUUGUGUGUAAAGUACACUGUUCAAUCUUUUUAUCACAUGUAUUCGGUUCUCAAUGACCAAACGAAAAGCUUUAAACUUUUGUUGCCACAUGAAAGUGCACAUACAUACAUCACAAAGAUAUUAAUUUACAUUAUGAUGAAAUUGCUAGUUUUACAAACACUCUUAAUAGCUCUUUUACAUCAACUUGAUCCUCAAUAGGUAGACCAAAAGAUGAUCAGUAUUUGCUUGUAAAUUGUAAUGCACUUGAACAUAUAUGCUUAUGAUAAAUAUUUUGAUA